UAUGAUGAGCUUAUAAGCGGCUUGAUUUCGACUUAAGAUAAGGAUAAUUUAGUGA
rnacentral:tRNA from 1 species